rnacentral:rRNA from 1 species
UACGGAGGGGGCUAGCGUUGUUCGGAAUUACUGGGCGUAAAGCGCGCGUAGGCGGCUUUCUAAGUCAGGGGUGAAAUCCUGGAGCUCAACUCCAGAACUGCCUUUGAUACUGGAGAGCUUGAGUCCGGGAGAGGUGAGUGGAACUCCGAGUGUAGAGGUGAAAUUCGUAGAUAUUCGGAAGAACACCAGUGGCGAAGGCGGCUCACUGGCCCGGUACUGACGCUGAGGUGCGAAAGCGUGGGGAGCAAACAGG